UUCCCGGUGGUGUAAUUGGUAACACACAAGACUCUGGAUCUUGGUUUGGGGGUUCGAGUCCUCCCCGGGAAG
rnacentral:tRNA from 1 species